GAUGAACGCUGGCGGCGUGCCUAAUACAUGCAAGUCGAGCGAACAGACGAGGAGCUUGCUCCUCUGACGUUAGCGGCGGACGGGUGAGUAACACGUGGAUAACCUACCUAUAAGACUGGGAUAACUUCGGGAAACCGGAGCUAAUACCGGAUAAUAUAUUGAACCGCAUGGUUCAAUAGUGAAAGACGGUUUUGCUGUCACAUAUAGAUGGAUCCGCGCCGCAUUAGCUAGUUGGUAAGGUAACGGCUUACCAAGGCAACGAUGCGUAGCCGACCUGAGAGGGUGAUCGGCCACACUGGAACUGAGACACGGUCCAGACUCCUACGGGAGGCAGCAGUAGGGAAUCUUCCGCAAUGGGCGAAAGCCUGACGGAGCAACGCCGCGUGAGUGAUGAAGGUCUUCGGAUCGUAAAACUCUGUUAUUAGGGAAGAACAAGUGUGUAAGUAACUAUGCACGUCUUGACGGUACCUAAUCAGAAAGCCACGGCUAACUACGUG
rnacentral:rRNA from 1 species